rnacentral:rRNA from 1 species
UGGGGAAUAUUGCACAAUGGAGGGAACUCUGAUGCAGCGACGCCGCGUGAACGAAGAAGGCUUUCGAGUCGUAAAGUUCUUUUAUAUGGGAAGAUAAUGACGGUACCAUAAGAAAAAGCCCCGGCUAACUACGUGCCAGCAGCCGCGGUAAUACGUAGGGGGCUAGCGUUGUCCGGAAUCACUGGGCGUAAAGGGUUCGCAGGCGGAAAUGCAAGUCAGGUGUAAAAGGCAGUAGCUUAACUACUGUAAGCAUUUGAGACUGCAUAUCUUGAGAAGAGGAGAGGUAAGUGGAAUUUUUAGUGUAGCGGUGAAAUGCGUAGAUAUUAAAAAGAAUACCGGUGGCGAAGGCGACUUACUGGGCUCAUUCUGACGCUGAGGAACGAAAGCGUGGGUAGCAAACAGG